rnacentral:rRNA from 1 species
UACGUAGGGGGCAAGCGUUGUCCAGAGUUACUGGGCGUAAAGCGCACGCAGGCGGUCUCUUAAGUUUGGAGUGACAGUUGGUGGCUUAACUGCCAAAGUGCUUCGAAAACUGAGAGACUUGAGGGCUUCAGAGGGACACGGAAUUCCGGGUGGAGUGGUGAAAUGCGUAGAGAUCCGGAGGAACACCAAAGGCGAAGGCAGUGUCCUGGGGAGUACCUGACGCUCAGGUGCGAAAGCGUGGGGAGCAAACAGG